rnacentral:rRNA from 1 species
UACGGAGGGUGCGAGCGUUGUCCGGAAUCAUUGGGCGUAAAGGGCGCGUAGGUGGCCCGGUCAGUCCGUGGUGAAAGCGCGGGGCUCAACCCCGCGUCGGCCAUGGAUACUGCUGGGCUGGAGCACUGUAGAGGCAGGCGGAAUUCCGGGUGUAGCGGUGGAAUGCGUAGAGAUCCGGAAGAACACCGGUGGCGAAGGCGGCCUGCUGGGCCAGUUGCUGGACACUGAGGCGCGACAGCG